UUUUAAACCAAUAUUCAUUCAAAAUGGCCAUAUCCUGCCAAAUAUUCUACCUGUUUUGCACUCAAACUGGUCAGGUCUGGCUUCUCACAACAACCCUACA